CUACGGGUCGCUGCAGUGGGGAAUAUUGCACAAUGGGCGCAAGCCUGAUGCAGCCAUGCCGCGUGUAUGAAGAAGGCCUUCGGGUUGUAAAGUACUUUCAGCGGGGAGGAAGGGAGUAAAGUUAAUACCUUUGCUCAUUGACGUUACCCGCAGAAGAAGCACCGGCUAACUCCGUGCCAGCAGCCACGGUAAUACGGAGGGUGCAAGCGUUAAUCGGAAUUACUGGGCGUAAAGCGCACGCAGGCGGUUUGUUAAGUCAGAUGUGAAAUCCCCGGGCUCAACCUGGGAACUGCAUCUGAUACUGGCAAGCUUGAGUCUCGUAGAGGGGGGUAGAAUUCCAGGUGUAGCGGUGAAAUGCGUAGAGAUCUGGAGGAAUACCGGUGGCGAAGGCGGCCCCCUGGACGAAGACUGACGCUCAGGUGCGAAAGCGUGGGGAGCAAACAGGAUUAGAUACCCUCGUAGUC
rnacentral:rRNA from 1 species